rnacentral:lncRNA from 1 species
AUGCAUUGGCACCAUCAGUAUCAACGUCCAGAAUGUCAAUGAUGAGAGUCCUGUUCUUGCAUCUGUACCAGAUGCACCUAUAAAUAUUUAUGAAAAUCUCUCUGUUGGAACAAAGCUGGUCACAUUGACAGCGACUGAUCGAGACAUAGGGGACUCAGUACAUUAUGAGCUUAUAGGGACACAAAAAGAAUUUUCUAUAAAUGAAGAAUUGAAUGUCCUGAAAAUAUCCCAGUUGAAACUCUUUUAGUCUCUCUAACUUGUACAGAUAAGGAUGGAAGUGCUCCCAAUAACAAUAUAACAUAUCAUUUGAUUAUGGAUGCCUUUUCAA